UCCUCCUUAGCUCAGCUGGUUAGAGCAUCUGACUGUUAAUCAGAGGGUCCUUGGUU
rfam:Rhodonellum psychrophilum GCM71 = DSM 17998 strain GCM71 EFN26G67, whole genome shotgun sequence.